rnacentral:rRNA from 1 species
AUUGAACGCUGGCGGCAGGCCUAACACAUGCAAGUCGAGCGAGCGGCGGACGGGUGAGUAAUGUCUGGGAAACUGCCUGAUGGAGGGGGAUAACUACUGGAAACGGUAGCUAAUACCGCAUACCAUCAGAUGUGCCCAGAUGGGAUUAGCUAGUAGGUGGGGUAACGGCUCACCUAGUCGACGAUCCCUAGCUGGUCUGAGAGGAUGACCAGCCACAGUGGAACUGAGACACGGUCCAUACUCCUACGGUAGGCAGCAGUGGGGAAUAUUGCACAAUUGGCGCAAGCCUGUUGCAGCCAUGCCGCGUGUGUGAAGAAGGCCUUAGGGUUGUAAAGCACUUUCAGCUGGGAGGCGUUACCCGCAGAAGAAGCACCGGCUAACUCCGUGCCAGCAGCCGCGGUAAUUC